ensembl:lncRNA
GAUCUGCUUAUGUUUGACCAUUCUUCUUUAUUAAACUGCUCUUGACUAGAAAUUGAAACAGAAGAGUGCAUUUUUAUCCCUGUCCAGUCUUGUCCUUUAAAUAUGUUUCCCUAAUCUCCAGAUCCCAUAUUAGUUAUAUAGGCUAACUGCCAAAACCUUCCGAAUAUGACUCAGACCCAGAUAGAGUGAAGUCAGAGGCGUAACUUUAAUCCACAAGGCAAAUAACAAAGUGCAGGUAGGCAGAGGUCGGUACACAGGUAGUCAGAAGGCAGCAGUACAAUCCAGAAUCUGAGAAGGAUAAACGGGAGGCAGGCAGAGAGUUCAGGCGUCAGAAAAUCCGAUGGGCUACGGUACAGAAUCAGAAGGCAGGCAACGAAGUCGGGACAGGCAAAACAGGUCUAUGCUGAAGUCAAUGGACAACAGGGAAAAAUAGGCUCAGUAUGUCGCAGUGUCACAAACAAUACCUCAUGGUGAGAGAAGGAAACAGACAGGCUUAUAUGCACAGGUGGUAAUUGGGAACAGGUGUCUAGAAUUCGGGAGAUUGGGACCCGGAGGAUGUGCUGCGUUCCUUUGGAGGCCCCACACGUUCAUCCAUGUAAAACCGCACAACUUUUAGAUGUUCAUGUUAAUUAUGAAAAAACUUUUGAAAGGACUAAGCAAGUUUCUUGCUUCCUCUUCUUUUCUUGCUUUUCUUUUUUGAAGCACCACUGUUAGUGUUUUUGUUUCACGCUGCCAGCGGCGCCUCAAAAAGUACAGGGGUCCUGUAGAAGCAAUAGAGGACACAGAAGGUUUACAGGUAGGAUGGGAGGUGCCAUAAGACAUUGUUAGAUUGCAGAAUGUUUGAUUUAAGCCUAAAACCUUUGGCUAGCAGAGCUAGAGUAGGAGACAAAGAAAGUAAUUCUGGGAAGAAAUGAGAAUGAUAUCCUGUGUCAAGUCAGAGGCAGGUGUGAAGAGGCAGGUGUGGAGAGGCAGGUGUGAAGAGGCAGGUGUGAAGAGACAGGUGUGGAGAGGCAGGUGUGAAGAGGCAGGUGUGGAGAGGCAGGUGUGAAGAGGCAGGUGUGAAGAGGCAGGUGUAAAGAGGCAGGUGUGAAGAUGUUGGUAGUGCCGUUUAAUUGCAGACUCCUAGUGCUCAAUCUUGCUCACACAGUUUCAUGGGCUGGGGAUUUAUGUAGAAGAAAAAAUCUGGUUAGGAGCAUGAUUUUUUUUGGCAUUCUAUGUUUACUGACACAAAAACAUACUGUAAGUCAUGCCCUAAAAUCACUUAUUGGUUCGAUGCUAUGCUGGGUUAGACCAAACUGACACUUGUCACUCUCACGAUUUUCAAACAUCAACUUUAAUUUGAUUGGAAAAUAUAUACUUAUCAGAAUGCCUUCAUUGGCUUAACAAAAAGCCAUACAUUUUUUACUGAAAUAUAACAGUGGCUUAAAAUGUUCUUCAUGCAUAAAGUUUUGCACAAUUUUCUUGAUGUUGUGAAAAUUAUAUAAUGUACUCCUAUAUCAAGUUAAUAUCAAGUAAAAUAUAAAAAAUUGCAUUUACCUAAGUCAUUUAGCUAAUGCGUUGUUUUAUCCAAAGCAACUUUCAAUUGAGGCUGAGAAUGAUCAUAGCAUAUAACUUCUACAACUACAAACCUGUUUCCAAAGAAGUUGGUAUGCAGCGUUAAACGCAAAUACAAACAGAAUGCAAUGAUGUACAAAUCAUAUCUCCCUAUAUUUAAUUGAAAAUAGUGCAAAGAAAACAUAUCAAAUGUUGAAACUGAGAAAUGUACUUGUUUUUGGAAAAAUACAUGCCCAAAUGUAAUACACAUUUGUAAAUUGUGGUCUGCAUAUUUGCAAUAAUUUAGAAGCAAUUCUGUCUCCAUAGAUAACCAACCCCACCCCUGUGACAAACAACCCUGGUAUGUGAAGUAAUUAGCCAGUGGAAAAUGUGUACUACACAUAUGUUAAUUGUUCGAGCAGUUUAAUUGAAAUUUAUGGAAAUAUCAGUUUGAAAUGUAAGAAUGAGCGGAGAACAGAAGAUUCAAAAACGUUUUGAUAGUUAAAUUAGGGUAUACCCACGUCACCAGGCACCACACCACAGACUUUGCUGGUGUGUAUACAGUUGUACUCAAAAGUUUGCAUACCCUUGGAGAAUUGGUAACAUAUUGUAAAAAAAACACA